UACGGAAGGCAGCAGUGGGGAAUAUUGCACAAUGGGCGCAAGCCUGAUGCAGCCAUGCCGCGUGUAUGAAGAAGGCCUUCGGGUUGUAAAGUACUUUCAGCGGGGAGGAAGGCGAUGUGGUUAAUAACCGCAUCGAUUGACGUUACCCGCAGAAGAAGCACCGGCUAACUCCGUGCCAGCAGCCGCGGUAAUACGGAGGUGCAAGCGUUAAUCGGAAUUACUGGGCGUAAAAGCGCACGCAGGCGGUCUGUCAAGUCGGAUGUGAAAUCCCCGGGCUUAACCUGGGAACUGCAUUCGAAACUGGCAGGCUAGAGUCUUGUAGAGGGGGUAGAAUUCCAGGUGUAGCGGUGAAAUGCGUAGAGAUCUGGAGGAAAUACCGGUGGCGAAAGGGCGGGCCCCCUGGGCAAAAGACUGACGCUCAGGUGCGAAAAGCGUGGGGAGCGAAAACAGGAUUUAGGAUAACCCGGU
rnacentral:rRNA from 1 species